rnacentral:rRNA from 1 species
GACAGAGGGUGCGAACGUUGCUCGGAAUAGCUAGGGGCGUAAAGCGCGUGCAGGCUGGCCCCGCACGUCCGGUGUGAAAGGCCCAGGGCUCAACCCUGGAAGCGCGCUGGAUACGACGGGGCUCGAGGGCUGGAGAGGUAGGCGGAAUUCCCGGUGUAGAGGUGAAAUUCGUAGAUAUCGGGAGGAACACCGGUGGGCGA